rnacentral:rRNA from 1 species
AACGAUGAAGCCCCUUCGGGGGUGGAUUAGUGGCGAACGGGUGAGUAACACGUGGGCAAUCUGCCCUGCACUCUGGGACAAGCCCUGGAAACGGGGUCUAAUACCGGAUACGACCCUCUGCCGCAUGGCCUCUGGGUGGAAAGCUCCGGCGGUGCAGGAUGAGCCCGCGGCCUAUCAGCUUGUUGGUGAGGUAACGGCUCACCAAGGCGACGACGGGUAGCCGGCCUGAGAGGGCGACCGGCCACACUGGGACUGAGACACGGCCCAGACUCCUACGGGAGGCAGCAGUGGGGAAUAUUGCACAAUGGGCGCAAGCCUGAUGCAGCGACGCCGCGUGAGGGAUGACGGCCUUCGGGUUGUAAACCUCUUUCAGCAGGGAAGAAGCGUAAGUGACGGUACCUGCAGAAGAAGCGCCGGCUAACUACGUGCCAGCAGCCGGGGGUAAUUCCA